ACCGGCAAGCAGCAGCAGCACUGGCAGUAGCAACCACCGGGCGGCAGCCCGUUAGUAGUCGCAGUAGCCGCAUUUGCGACUCAUCGCUCGCCUGCGAUGUGUAUGUAAAUAAUAAAUAAACACAAAUACACAACCCGAGUCUCAGGGAGAAAAACACACACAGGGCGCUCCCCCCGUUCUCGUCCCUGCUUUCCCCCCUCACCUCCACCCCCCCGUGUGUAUGUGUGCGAAUUCUUGUGCAUUUUCUUCGGGCCCCGUCCGGCCCGUACGCAUCCACCCGGCGCGUUUAACGGAUUGUACCGAGCUAGAACACGGCCUGCUGUGUGUGUGUGUGUGCGGGACGGACGCAAAUAAAACGUUUGUGUGGUGUGUUGUGUUGCAUUUUAAUAUAAAGCAUGUUUUGUGUUGCUUUAUCCCGUUCAGUCGAUGUUUUGACGCGCUGUUGUGUUGUAGUGUGUCGCCGGCCACCGAGCGACACUGCCGACGGGUUGCUUUGCGAGCGUACGCGCGUACCACGCGGUGUCCGCAGUACGGGGCCACGCGUGCCACCGUGGUUUCGGUUUCGGUAGUGAUUUGCGUAGAGUAGAGUCCGUUCGCGUAGCGCGUCGUCGGCCAGCAGCCAUGAACAGCAGUGACCGAUCGCCCAGCAUCAAGAGCGAGGAGGUCAGCCAGGACGUGCCGGAAGCGACGGAACACACAAACGCGGCAUUAUGAUACUUUUUACUUUACAGCACAUACAGCAUAAACCAUUUCUUAAUAAAACUAAUGGAGUGUUAAAAAUGGAUUCAUGG